GACGAACGCUGGCGGCGUGCUUAACACAUGCAAGUCGAACGGAAAGGCCCUGCUUUUGCGGGGUGCUCGAGUGGCGAACGGGUGAGUAACACGUGAGUAUCCUGCCCUUGACUGUGGGAUAACUUCAGGAGACUGGGGCUAAUACCGGAUAGGAGCUCCUGCUGCAUGGGGGGGGUUGGAAAGUUUCGGCGGUUGGGGAUGGACGUGGGGUUUACUAGCUGGUUGGGGGGGGAGUGGCUUACCAAGGGUUUGACGGGUAGUCCGCCUGGGUGGGGGGCCGGGGACCAGGGGACUGAGGGAGGGCCCAGACGGGAACGGUGGGCAACAGUGGGAAAUAUUGCACAGUGAGGCGGAGCGUGAGACGAAGGUGCCGGGAGCGGGAUGACGGCCUACGGGUUGUGAACCGCUGUCGCCUGUGACGAAGCGUGAGUGACGGUAAUGGGUAAAGAAGCACCGGCUAACUACGUG
rnacentral:rRNA from 1 species